UAUCCUACGCCCGGUAGGCGUUCGUUAGCGUGAUUUCUUUUCUACUAUUUUUUCUCUAUUUUUUUCUUCAUUUUUUUUUCCCGAAAGAAGGAAGGAAUAACGGGGGAGGGCGGAUACCUUGGGGCCUCAUCUCUUCUCUAGGUAGGGUUUCCGCGGAUCUCUCGUUAGGGUUUCUCGGAGAGCUUGGGGGGUUUGGGAAGGAGGGAUCGCCGGGGCGAAGGUGAGGGUGCGAUAGAUGGAGACGGCUUCGCGAUUGAGCGAAGACGAGGAUGAGUUCGGGAGGAGCCAGGGAUCCUCUCAGAAAGUGGAAUUGAAUGUGAAGGUGGAUGGGAAGGGUAGCGGGCAGAAGCCGGGCACACCAACCACGCCAAGAUCGAAGCACUCUGCAACAGAGCAGCGCCGAAGGUGCAAAAUUAAUGAUAGAUUUCAGAUACUUAGAGACCUUAUACCACAUAGUGAUCAUAAACGAGAUAAAGCUUCACUUCUUUUGGAGGUUAUUGAAUAUAUUAAAUUCUUACAAGAGAAGGUGCAAAAAUAUGAAUCAUACCAGGGAUGGUGUCCGGAAAAUGCAAAGUUAAUGCCAUGGAGUAACAGCCAAGCCCCUACAGAUGGUGUUUCUGACUCUUCUCAUGUCUUUAAAAAUGGCCCUGCUCCCCCUGGGUUUAUGUUCCCUGGGAAGUUUGUUGACAAUACCAUCCCUAUAGCCCCAACAAUGCUCUCAAACGCACAGAAUGUGGCUGAACCAGACAUGAAUCCUGGUACAGGUGCGGUGUUCGUUCCUUUGCAGCCAAACUUUUGUGCUUCUGUUGGAACGGAAUAUGGUUUAACACAGCCUCAGGAGAGGUUAAUUUCAGAUUCAGAUAACAUGGCAUCUCAGUCCCAAUCGUGGCAGAGACCAUCAGGUCCAUCUGACUGUAAUAUUGGCAGCGAUAUGUUGAGUGAACAAGAAGAGCUAGCCAUUGAUGAGGGCACAAUCAACAUUUCUUGUGUCUACACUCAAGGGAUAUUGACCACGCUAACACAAGCACUGGAGAGUUCAGGUAUAGAUCUAUCUCAAGCCAGCAUCUCCGCGCAUAUCAAUCUAGGUAAACGAGCGAUCAGUAGAAGGCCAACUGCCACCACUACUAUGUCUAGUGCUAAGGAUCAUGAAGACCCCUCAGCUGUUAAUCAAGUGAUAGGGGACUCGAGGGUGGGGAGCAGUUGUGAGGAAUCUGAGCAAGCUCUGAAGAGGCAUAAAGUUGAUAACAGCUAAUGCUACAUCCUUGGAUCCUCUUCUUUAUCUUGUAAUCAUCCUUAUGCUGAAUCAAAGAUGAAUGCUCGAGCCUUUGCACAUGGGCAUAAUGGAAUUAUGUAUUCUUUGCAUAUGUCUUUUAGUGAAGAGGCUUCCAUCACAAAUUGAGAAGCUACCUCAUUUCAGGCUUUCUUUCCUGUUAUGAGGGCCCGCAGUACUUCAUCCUUGUAAGCUGUUUGAUUGUUGAGUUGAUGGAAGUGGGGCAUCAGGCAAGUGUUGAACUGAUUAUCGUGAUGCUAUCUCUUCGUGCAGAUUGGAAUAGAAUACAAAAGGACUGGAUGGCUCGCGUGAUUAUUUUUUCCCUUUUCCAUAACAGGAUACUCCAACUUAAUCAUUCAUUGGUGAGAUUGUGCAGCUUUUCUUCGUUUUUCACCCAUAGGGUGCGUAGAUUUGGGAAUAUAACAUCAGGUCAUGAAGGAUACACCCAACUGGUUAGUUCAUUUCUUCGUUUAAUGAACUGAUCCUGGAGCAAUUUUUUUGUUAAUCCUCA